UAGACAACCUGCCUUCAGGAUGGGGACAACAGACGGAAACGACUGCUAAUACCGAAUAAGUUCCAAGAGCCGCAUGGCCCAUGGAAGAAAAGGUGGCCUCUACCUGUAAGCUAUCGCCUGAAGAGGGGUUUGCGUCUGAUUAGCUGGUUGGAGGGGUAACGGCCCACCAAGGCGACGAUCAGUAGCCGGUCUGAGAGGAUGAACGGCCACACUGGAACUGAGACACGGUCCAGACUCCUACGGGAGGCAGCAUG
rnacentral:rRNA from 1 species